rnacentral:rRNA from 1 species
GACGAACGCUGGCGGCGUGCUUAACACAUGCAAGUCGAACGGAAAGGCCCUGCUUUUGUGGGGUGCUCGAGUGGCGAACGGGUGAGUAACACGUGAGUAACCUGCCCUUGACUUUGGGAUAACUUCAGGAAACUGGGGCUAAUACCGGAUAGGAGCUCCUGCUGCAUGGUGGGGGUUGGAGAGUUUCGGCGGUUGGGGAUGGACUCGCGGCUUAUCAGCUUGUUGGUGGGGUAGUGGCUUACCAAGGCUUUGACGGGUAGCCGGCCUGAGAGGGUGACCGGCCACAUUGGGACUGAGAUACGGCCCAGACUCCUACGGGAGGCAGCAGUGGGGAAUAUUGCACAAUGGGCGGAAGCCUGAUGCAGCAACGCCGCGUGCGGGAUGACGGCCUUCGGGUUGUAAACCGCUUUCGCCUGUGACGAAGCGUGAGUGACGGUAAUGGGUAAAGAAGCACCGGCUAACUACGUGCCAGCAGCCGCGGUGAUACGUAGGGUGCGAGCGUUGUCCGGAUUUAUUGGGCGUAAAGGGCUCGUAGGUGGUUGAUCGCGUCGGAAGUGUAAUCUUGGGGCUUAACCCUGAGCGUGCUUUCGAUACGGGUUGACUUGAGGAAGGUAGGGGAGAAUGGAAUUCCUGGUGGAGCGGUGGAAUGCGCAGAUAUUAGGAGGAACACCAGUGGCGAAGGCGGUUCUCUGGGCCUUUCCUGACGCUGAGGAGCGAAAGCGUGGGGAGCGAACAGGCUUAGAUACCCUGGUAGUCCACGCUGUAAACGGUGGGUACUAGGUGUGGGGUCCAUUCCACGGGUUCCGUGCCGUAGCUAACGCUUUAAGUACCCCGCCUGGGGAGUACGGCCGCAAGGCUAAAACUCAAAGGAAUUGACGGGGCCCCGCACAAGCGGCGGAGCAUGCGGAUUAAUUCGAUGCAACGCGUAGAACCUUACCUGGGUUUGACAUGGAUCGGGAGCGCUCAGAGAUGGGUGUGCCUCUUUUGGGGUCGGUUCACAGGUGGUGCAUGGCUGUCGUCAGCUCGUGUCGUGAGAUGUUGGGUUAAGUCCCGCAACGAGCGCAACCCUUGUCCACUGUUGCCAGCACGUUAUGGUGGGGACUCAGUGGAGACCGCCGGGGUCAACUCGGAGGAAGGUGGGGAUGACGUCAAGUCAUCAUGCCCCUUAUGUCCAGGGCUUCACGCAUGCUACAAUGGCUGGUACAGAGAGUGGCGAGCCUGUGAGGGUGAGCGAAUCUCGGAAAGCCGGUCUCAGUUCGGAUUGGGGUCUGCAACUCGACCUCAUGAAGUCGGAGUCGCUAGUAAUCGCAGAUCAGCAACGCUGCGGUGAAUACGUUCCCGGG